AGCGAACGCUGGCGGCAGGCCUAACACAUGCAAGUCGAACGAACCUUUCGGGGUUAGUGGCGGACGGGUGAGUAACACGUGGGAACGUGCCUUUAGGUUCGGAAUAACUCAGGGAAACUUGUGCUAAUACCGAAUGUGCCCUUCGGGGGAAAGAUUUAUCGCCUUUAGAGCGGCCCGCGUCUGAUUAGCUAGUUGGUUGAGGUAAUGGCUCACCAAGGCGACGAUCAGUAGCUGGUCUGAGAGGAUGAUCAGCCACAUUGGGACUGAGACACGGCCCAAACUCCUACGGGAGGCAGCAGUGGGGAAUCUUGCGCAAUGGGCGAAAGCCUGACGCAGCCAUGCCGCGUGAAUGAUGAAGGUCUUAGGAUUGUAAAAUUCUUUCAGCGGGGACGAUAAUGACGGUACCCGGAGAAGAAGCCCCGGCUAACUUCGUG
rnacentral:rRNA from 1 species